UAUUUGAGCUAUUUUGGCGUCUCUGCCAUCCUAUAGUUGUUCAGUUUUCUCUUUUGAAACGAGGCUAUCUAGAGGAUUUCAUGUUGUUGUUUAGGAAGGCAUCAGUGAAGAUUGGGAGGUAGAGAGGGAUUGCUCAAGUGGAAACAGAUCAAGAACCAGAAGGAGCUGAAGAUUUUGCUACUUCCUUGGUAAUAGCUUUGUGAGAUCAGUUAAAUAUUAUCCAGGACCAUGCACCCGCCCUUGACAAUGGCUUCUAGAAGCUAAGGUUGCAGGGGUGAAUUAAAGUUCGAUUUUCCAGCAGCGAGGUAACUACUACCGAUGGAGAUCAAACUAAUGAGCUCACGAAAAAAAAUAUAGACAUCAAACACCGAAGGAGGUUAGUUUUUACCUGAGUGGAAACAGCAGUCGUAUCGUCUUGCUGGAGCCUCCUUUGUCAUGGAAAGUCACCAGCUUCAGGGAGUGCCAGCAGAGCCGGAACAGACGCCACCUACGGUGGGGAGUGACAGUGGCAACUGCGCGGAUUUGGCUCACCCAUACGAGAAAC